ACAUGUACAUGUAAUUUAGUUGCCAUUUGUUGGUGGACAAAAGUCACAUUAAUUUGACAGGAAGCUGUAGUGGAACAGACAUUUUGUUCUUUUGAAUUUUGGUGGAUAGCUGUCUUAUUGAAUCAUACAUGUACCACAUUUCCUAUUUUUACAUAAGAAGAUAUUUGACGGGUAACAAUAAAUAUUGGGCCACAAUUAAAAAUAUUUUGGUUUGCCCAAACCCUACCCAAAUGUUGAGACAGUGGGUAGGUAGGUAGGCAUUUUCUUUUUUUUUCUUAAAAAAAACAAAAUUGAAGUAUCGGGUGUUUAUUAGUCUUCAUGCCUUUCUGAUUAAAAAAAAACUUCUUCAAAUCAGGACAAUAAAAGAAUUUGAGUAGGCAGCUUUUUUCUGAGUAGGUAGGGUUUGGGCAAACAAACCUAUUCUUUUUUAUGGCCUUGUCAAAAGUCCCAUUAUUUUAAGGACACCUACCUGAAAUAUAUGACAAAUAUUGCUGUAGUAAACAGACUUCCCUCAAUGUAAAAGUCCAAGUCAUUCCCAAGCCCAAGGUGUACAUGUAUAUGCAGAG
rnacentral:lncRNA from 1 species